UAGGGAAUCUUCCGCAAUGGACGCAAGUCUGACGGAGCAACGCCGCGUGAGUGAAGAAGGAUUUCGGUUCGUAAAACUCUGUUGUUAGAGAAGAACAGCGCAUAGAGUAACUGUUAUGCGUGUGACGGUAUCUAACCAGAAAGCCACGGCUAACUACGUGCCAGCAGCCGCGGUAAUACGUAGGUGGCAAGCGUUGUCCGGAUUUAUUGGGCGUAAAGCGAGCGCAGGCGGUCAAUUAAGUCUGAUGUGAAAGCCCCCGGCUCAACCGGGGAGGGUCAUUGGAAACUGGUUGACUUGAGUGCAGAAGAGGAGAGUGGAAUUCCAUGUGUAGCGGUGAAAUGCGUAGAUAUAUGGAGGGACACCAGUGGCGAAGGCGACUCUCUGGUCUGUAACUGACGCUGAGGUUCGAAAGCGUGGGUAGCAAACAGG
rnacentral:rRNA from 1 species